rnacentral:rRNA from 1 species
GGUCAAGCUACAAAGGGCUCACGGAGGAUACCUAGGCACACAGAGGCGAUGAAGGACGUGGUUACCUGCGAUAAGUCUCGGGGAGUUGGAAGCACACUUUGAUCCGGGAAUUUCCGAAUGGGGCAACCCCUUGAACGACCAACUGAAUAUAUAGGAUGGUGCGAGCUAACCCAGCGAACUGAAACAUCUUAGUAGCGGGAGGAAAGGGAAA